rnacentral:rRNA from 1 species
ACCUAAGAGAUUAAGCGUUCCCUUCGGGGACGGAAUGACAGGUGGUGCAUGGUUGUCGUCAGCUCGUGUCGUGAGAUGUUGGGUUAAGUCCCGCAACGAGCGCAACCCUUAUUGUCAGUUGCCAGCAUUCAGUUGGGCACUCUGGUCAGACCGCCGGUGUUAAGCCGGAGGAAGGAGAGGAUGAGGCCAAGUCAUCAUGCCCCUUAUGACCUGGGCUACACACGUGCUACAAUGGACGGUACAACGAGUCGCGAUCUCGCGAGGGUGAGCUAACUCCAAAAACCCGUCCUCAGUUCGGAUUGCAGGCUGCAACUCGCCUGCAUGAAGCAGGAAUCGCUAGUAAUCGCCGGUCAGCCAUACGGCGGUGAAUCCGUUCCCGGGUCUUGUACACACCGA